CUGCUAUCCUCUGCUGUCAGGUAAACUCCACCUACGUAUAAAGGCCAGAGUUUACAAGCAAAUGAUACGCCCGGUGCUGACCUAUGGAUCUCCUGCGUGGUCCACAGCCAGCACCUCGCAAAAGCAGAAACUGGCAGUAUUCCAAAAUAAAAUCCUGAGGAUAGUGACAAAGGCCCCGUACUUCGUCAGAAAUACCACCCUGCGAAGAGACCUGGAUAUAGAGGAGCUGCUGGACCACAUCCGGAACCUAACGUCAGGGUUCCUGGAUAGGAUCCGGCACCGCAAGAAUCCCACCGUCAGGGUUUCUUGCACCAAGAAGUUCAACUGUGACAGCAGACCUCUCCCUGCGGACACAGUCUAAGAAGCAGAYGUGGACCACAUGCGAUGACCAGUUCCUGCACCACAACGAGGACCAUGGGCUAGAUUAAAGUUAGCUUAGGAAGCGUUAGAGGAUGUGUUAGGUUAGGUUUAGGUUAGAAUAGGUUAGAUUAAGUCAUACGAUGUCAUUUAAAACAACAAGAUGUUAGCAUUAAGGAUCCAUAGAAUAAGUAGCAGUAAGAAGUAUUGUAAAACUUGUCUGAAAUAAAUAUGUUCAAAAGCAAGCAAAGUAACUGAACUGUUAAGCACUGAACUGUUAAGUUGCCUAUAACGUGUGGCCGUUAAAAAUAGCAUUUAUGAUACAGCGCAGGGCUGAUUGUAACAAUUAAGUUAUGAAUAAAGUUUGACUGAUAAAGUGUAAAAAAAGUAUAAAAGAAAAGUGACAAUAAUUAAUUUCGUAAUUAUUCGAUAGUGCCCAUCACUAGUUUUGAGACAAGUUUUAGGAUGUUAAAACAAAGGCUGCAGCGCACUCACCUCGCUAUCAUUGCUGUGCAAUUUGAGGACGUAGCCAGGCAGGAGAUCUUUGCGGGCGUUCACGUCCUCGAGAGCAAGUCGGGCGGCCGGCAUGCACGCCUGACCGCCCUGCCACCCGGCUUGACCGCCAAUGGGGAAAAUGCCGCCAAUGUGCAGCACGUUGCUGUCCGUGUAUCCGCCGCCCACCGUCACCAACAUCCGACUCAGCGCUAUCAAGAGCGUCCACAGCGUCCAUGGCACUGAUGGUUGCUGAAACAAUCAAAUUUCCUGUGAAUCCGAUUAAACUGAAUAAAGUAUUGAUCGAG